GCCUGGGUGGCUCAGUUGGUGGAGCCUCUGACUUUGGCUCAGGUCAUGAUCUCAUGGUUCGUGAGUUCGAGCCCCUCAUUGGGCU
rfam:Felis catus isolate Cinnamon breed Abyssinian chromosome X, whole genome shotgun sequence.